rnacentral:misc_RNA from 1 species
GAGCAAUGUCUUUAGUUGUCACAAAGAAAAAGGUUUUGAAUAGACAUCGAAUGUUUCGUUGGCUGUUAACUGUGGUUCCUGUCUAAAUCCGGAACUGAGACUCCCUCCUGUUAAGAGCAUUGUGAGAAGAGAUGUCACAAUGCCACCAUCAAGCCCGUUGUCUGUAUUUCGAAUGGUAGAGCGCAUUGCAUUUAACAUGUUCCCAUAUGUAGUUCCAUGUCCACGCUCAAUAGCUUGGAUGAAAGAGUAAGUCAUUGCACCUGUUG